AAAUGACAUCGUAUCGUAGUUAAUAUUCACAGCACAUCUAUUAUAGUUCUAUUAUGACUUUUAUUCAUACAACACUUAGAUGGAUAUCAUAAUAUCGUUAUCCCACAGAAUGUUUCAGUGAUUGACUUUAGUGAAAUAUGAAUUUGACAUAAUGAUUUAAGGUGAACUUGUUUGAGUUAUAUGAAUGGAACCCUGAAAUAAGACUUUGUACAAUAAACCAGAGAUGAAGGGUUUUCAUAUUUAAUGCCAACUACCAGUGUCAGAAAUUAACUUUCAUAUGGGACAAAUGAUUUUCAGGGGUAUUUUUUUUUUUACCUUUAUAUAGAACGUCUUUCCUAAUCUUAUUAAAUAUGUAUGCUAUCUAUAUCUAUAAUGUUAAAUUCUUAAAUUUAGUUAAAUAAAUUAGAAUAAUAUGACACUAGAGGCUGUUAUCAAUCAGUAUCAACCAACUGCAUGAUACUUUGAGAUGUAGCUACUUACAGUAAAUACAUUUACACAGCAAUUACAACUGUAUAACAUAAUGAGAUUAAUAUUUUAAACAACACUUUUAUUCAGAAAUAUGAAAUGACAAAAUGAAAUGAUACUUGGAUUAUGAAAGUAAUAUCGCCACUAGGUGGCGGUAAGUCAUUGUGUUAAGGAAGGAGUCAUUUAUUCAUUUGUCGAUUCGUUCAAAACGCUGAUUCAUUCAGAAAUGAAAUCAAGUGGCUGUCUAUAUUAAUUGGUCAUUUAAUCAUCUAUAUUAAUGAGUCGUUCAAAGACUCUUAUUCAUUCAGGAAUGAAACAACUCUGUUGCUUUACUGCGAAUCAGUCGCUUAACGGUUCUGUGACUUUAUUUGCUUUGGAAGUUUAGUUGGCAGAUAAAAUAACCGUUAUGUAUGCCAUCAGUUAGCCGGCCAAUACUUAAUAUUAAUUAAAUAAUCUCAGCGUAUUGCCUCAAACAAAAGUUAUGAUCUGUGUAUGAUGACUUAAAUUGAUACUGGUCUGGGCUUCACUAUAUCUCUGUGCUGUCCCGUGAGUUGCGCAGCAUUGCCACACAGAUUUUGAUAGGUGGUCAGCAAUAAUAAAACAGGCAGUGUGCCAAAGGUGUUGGCUAUUAGGUAGUUGUGAGUGCAGGUGCUAAGUAAAUUGUUAUUUCUGAGAUAAACUAGAAUAAUGAUAAUAAUAUUUCUGAGCUAAACACGCGUAAGUUGCCGAAUUUAUGGACACACAGAAGAAAGCCUCUAUGCUCUGCCUCGAUAUGGUAGCCUAUGUGUCAAGUCAUUCGUUAGUCUGGCUGUUUGAUGAAAAAGAGAUAGAGAUUAAGAUUAAAUGUAAAUUUAAAAGAGAUUAUAUGUAGUUGCAAUAAACGUUGCAAUCCAUCGCAGCGAAGGACUAUUAUUCUGCUGCACGGAACUGCGGAAGAAAUGAUGACUGCACCGUUUAAUAUUUGGUUGACCAAUCAGCGGAAAGGGGUGUUUCAUUCCCGCCCACAUGUACAGAUCAAAUAUUCAAGUUGUUUAUUCAUUUUCUACCCCUGAACGAAAAACGAAAAAUCAAGCCGAAAUCUUGUUUUUCGUUUUGUUUGAAAAAAAUGAAAAACGAAAAAGGUGCCGUUUUUCAUUUUCCGAUUUCAAUAAUAAAUAAAAAUUAAAAAAAACGAAUGACCAAAAGAUACACGGACCUUCAAUCCCGCCCACAUGUUGAGAUCAAAUAUUCAAAUUGUUUAUUCAUUUUCCACCCCUGAACAAAAACCGAAAAAUCAAGCCGAAUUCUUGUUUUUCGUUUUGUUUAAAAAAAAUAUGAAAAACGAAAAAGGUGCCGUUUUUUCAUUUUCCGAUUUCAAUAUUAAAUCAAAAAACGAAUGACCAAAAGAUAAACAGACCGGGGGGUCAAAUAAGUUAUCUUAUCGGCUCACUCGGGGUACAGCUGCGCUUAUGAGUGGCGAAUGCAGUGAUGGACAGCUUUCCUUAUUCGACUCGUGUUUGGAUUUCAUGUGAUUUCUCAUUUUAGUGGUGAUAUUAUGAUAACUCAGUUUCAUUGAUUAAUUUGAUCAAAAGUAAUUCCAUUUUGUAAGAUCAUUUUAACUGAGUAAUUCCAAACUUUGCGAGGCAGACGACGACAGUCUUUGAUCAAAUAAAAUCAACUUGUUAACGCGCUCCACAGCGCCACCCAGUGCAUUUAGUUAUAACUGAGUCUUGUGCUUGAGAUUUAUCAUUGAUUCACUGCAUUUAAGGCCAGCAAAGCAACAUAGUAAAAGUCAAAUAGUAUUUUUAUUUUUCGAUUAAUAAUUACAGAUUGAAUAUUCGAGUAUUCUUGCCCUAGUUACCAGUCUGACCGAUUAGGCCAUGACUGCCCUGCGACUUUUAGGUGCGCUAAAAUAAAAUCCCGCCCUCUAUUGAAUAUUCCAUUUCAAUUUAUACAUCACAACACUGAAAAAGUCAGUUGCAACUGGACACGUGGACUUUAACAUUGUUGUUUAUUGUCUUAAUACUGUGAAGCUGCUUUGAGACAAUCUGUAUUGUAUAAAGCACUGGAUAAAUGAAAUAUAUAGAAAGUUUUGCUUUUUUGCCAAAAGCUGCACAGCCAAAGGUAUUAAUCGGUAACACUUUACAAUAAGGGUACAUGAAUAAUCACGAACUAAUACCUGAAUUAAUACUUAAUUCAACAUGAACUAAUGAUUAUUAAAGGCAUGAACUAAUCAUGAACCAAUUAGGAGCUAUCCUUAACUACAACUUCAAUCAUAUGGAUUCACCCAUGAAUAACGGCAGCCUUAACUACAUGUUAGUACAUGUUUGAUAGUUAAUGCAUUAAUUUACUUUUAUGGCUAAACCAAAUUAAACAACCUCUUUAAGAAGAAAGAAGUACUCUGACUUUGAAAUAAAUUUAAAUAAUAUUAUCAUAGUUUGACUGCAGCUUUGUCAUAAACAUCACUGGAUAGCACAGGAUUAGUUGAUCCUCCUCAUCAAAAAUACUAAAUACACUAAUAACUGAUCUUAAAAGUUCUUUAUCUGUUUUGUGUUAUUCUCUUUCCCUUCCCGUCUGGAUGGAGAUUGAACUGUACUGAUAAACAGCAAACAUUCUAACCAUGAUUCCAUGGGCUGGCCACAGUUUUUUAGGGGUGAUCAUGGCCCCCCACUUGGAGGCAUAACUACUUGGGCAGUUUAUAAGGAAGAUGCCUAAGAAAGUAUUUCUAGACACAAGAGCAUUUUAAGAACAAAAACAGACAAGAUUUUUCAAAAUAAAACAUUAGUCUUUCAGUUUGGUAACUGAAAUAUAAACAGAAUAAUUUUGGACUAUAGACAGACUAUUAAUUUAUUGAUGUUUUGCAUCAUGGACGAAAUACCACCUUGGGUUGGCAUUAUUUUUCAAUAAUUCAGUGUUGCUUGGGCCAAUAUUUCUUACAUAUAUUACUCCUAAUUUAGUUUGCUUCAUCAGCCCAUUCACAUAUACCUUCAAUGAAAAAAAAGUUCAUUAUUGAAUUACCUAAAAAAGAAAGUUGAAAAAUGUUUAUUGUUAUUUUAUAGUUAAAAUGGGUAUGUACACAUAAAUAUCAUGAGUAGCUGAUGUCUGUUCCAUAAGCCUUUUGUAGGUGAAGCAUUUCUAAAUCUAUACAGUAUUUGUAUAUUUUAUUACCUUGCUGUGAUUACAAAUACUAUUUAAAAUAGCUUGUGAUGUUUUUCAGUUAUAAGUUGCUUUGACAUGACCGGUUUCUGUAUUUGAACUUAGCCCUAUAUAAGCAAGAUAUUAAUGAAUAUGAAACAUCUAUAUGGCUGAGUAAGAAUAACCAAUAUACACCAACUAACUCCCAUUAUAGUUACACUUGACUCCUGGGGAGUUCCAGACAAGAAAACAUUCAAGUAUAGGCUGAAAACCAUCCCCCCACCCCCUCCUCAUCUCGAAUACUCCUAGUUA